rnacentral:tRNA from 1 species
AGGGGUACAGUUCAAUGGUAGAGUACUUGCCUACCACACAUGAGACCCUAGGUUUGAUCCCUAAUACCACAA